CAUUUUAAUCUUAUAACCGGUACACAAAGCUGAAGAGUCAGUGAUGGUGACUAAGAAGCCUGAAGAAAGAGCGUCUACAACAUGAGUGUCGAAAACAAGGAAACAACUUUCUAACUCUGGAAGAUUGCCACAAAGUACUGCCAGUGUUGUCACACCCGAACAGCACACAGAACAGCACACUGGAAGACACUCUAAGUGCACAGCCGAACAGCACACUGGAAGAAACUCUAAGGCAGGCUCCCAGAAUUGGAGACAACAGGAGGGUAGGCUCCAUGCCCAGCAUGAAGCCCAACUCAGAGCCUGAACUAUUGACCAUGAGAUGAAGGCCUGAGCUGAGGUCAAGAGUUGGAUGCUUAACCAACGGAGCCACCCAGGCACCCCUACUAUGCUUCAUUUUGUUUUGGACAUCCUCGACAGAAUUCAACCAAUAGCCCUAAAAUACAGGAAAUGCUAAAAAGGGACUAUGCUGUAACAUGGUCAAUACCUCAAAAAGAGAGUUUACUAAGUAAAUAAGCACAUUUAGCUUCCAUUGCAUCCACUCCAAAGUCUGCAAUGGGAGUAAUCAAUGCUGAAAUUAAAAAAAAAAAAAAAACCUAUUCAUUU